rnacentral:lncRNA from 12 species
AUGGAGCUGGGCGCCGCGGAGCCGCCGCGCUCACAGCGGACCAGAGGCGGGAUCCGGGGGGACAAUGACGUGCGCGGGGUCCCACGGAGGUGGGACUCCCGGGGGGAGGCUGGGUGCGCGGCGGGGCGCGCAGACGUGGGGCUCCGCGAGGUGCGGGCAGCGGGCAGGCCGCGCCGGGGAGCCGCGGGCCCGAGACCCUGCGCGGGGGAAGAGCGGAGGACAGGCCCCCAGGCGUGGCCGCCGGGCUCGGGGGACCUGGUCGGCCGGUCAGAGGCCACGGCGAGGUCAAGGGCAUCUGCGCCCGGGGCCCAGGAGCCGGCAUUUGGGGGUGCCUUGGCGCGAGCCGGGGCGGGUGGGGGGUGGCGCCGGGCGGGCGGGAAGCUCGGGCAGCUGGAGAGGCGGCCCCGGGGCCCCGGGCCGGGUCCCGUCGAGGCGCCCCGAGCCGCAGGGCUUUGGGAGGCCGCGUCCGGGGGCUCGGCGGCCGCCGCAGACAAGGGGCUGCGAGGGGGCCGCGCGGGGUUUCCGAGCUCGGAUCCCGAGGCGCGCAGACCCCUCCCCACCGCGAGCCCCGCCUCCGGGGCGGGGGCCGGCCUGGCCCGCCAUCUGCUUCACAUCGACGCCGCCGCCGCCUCCCGGGCCUCCCCGGCCCCAGGAAUGCAGUGGCAGCGGCGGGCGGGGCCGCGCCUGGAGAGGGGGAGGGCGCGAUCGCGGCCGCCUGUCUCCGCCUCGGCGCUCCUUCCCCGGUGGGGCUCCGCGCCGGGAUCCGGGGGCGGGCGCGAGCCGUCGGCAGCCUCGGCCUGCGCUCCCGUUGCCCCCGCCCCGCCCCGCGGGGUGGCCUGUUCGGUAGCCCAGAGCCCCAUCCUGGUGCCACCCCUUCCCACCUGGGUGGACCGGGACAAACCGCUCAGCCUCCCUGGGCCUGCCUCGGCCAAUGUCAAAUGCGGUUGGGGGUGGUACCCCCCCUCGUGGAGUGGAGACGGGGUGAUUGUGAUUAUGGGAGCCCCCGGUUUCUGGGAAGGACAGCUUUUCUGGGCACUCCCCACCCAGGGACUGGGCCAUUUCUUCCAUUACCCUUCCAAGGCUCCCACCAGGGGCUCAGAGUCAGGAGGACGGGAAGAGGGGGGCAUACACUCAACCAGUAAAACCCCAUGCACCUACUGUGUGUGCCAGGCCUGUGGUUGGUGUAGCCAUACAGCGGCAGAGACAAAUACCACCGUCCCCCCCAGUGGAGGAGCCUUCCAGCAAGUCAUCUGA